GAAUUCCGCCUGGAAAGCGACGAUGCAUUCGUGCCUCGGCCUCGAGAGGCGUAGCUAGACGGCCGCGUGGCCGUGGAAAGAGCCCGAUUCCGACCCGAGAGGCCGCGGCAAGAGGCGGCCUCGAAGUCGGUGGAUCCUCCUGCUCGAAAGGCGGGGUGCUAAACCAUUCGCAGACGACCUAGUUGAAGAUCGGGGUGUCGUGAUCACUAGAGCAGUACAUCUCACUGCGAUUUGUUGAGAGUAAGCCUCAAGAUCUGUCGGUUUGU
rnacentral:ncRNA from 1 species